ensembl:lncRNA
CUUCUCUAAAAUUAGGUCUUUAAUGCCUCUGGGAUAUGUGGCAAACUUAAAAUUUUACUGGAAGCCCACAGAGUAUUAGUGAGUGGGAAAUGUGCCUCAAAAAAGUCAUUUGUUUAGCAUAGGAGAAGUCUGCUCUGUCAAAACCUGCAGCUACGGAGUCAGAAGAGGAAGAGUGGCUGCUGGGGGAAGGUGUGAUGCCACCUGAUACUGAGAAAAAGCAGAUUCCAAAAUUUGCCUCAUCACUGGAAUCAGGAAGAUGCUUUAAAAAGGACAGAGAGAUCUUUUGUCAAACUGAGACCUACUGAAUAGCACCAGGAAAGACCUUGGCACAACUCCAACACAUGACCAUAUAAACACACAACAGAAGAGAACAGAGGCUGUUCAAAGACACAGAUCUAUGUAGCCUGGUGGAUGGAUCCAGGGGAACGACUUGUUCUGGAUUGAAUCUGGAUCCCGUCAGAUUCACUGAAUCAAAAUUUUCAGCUGUGGGCUCAGAUGGCACAAGUUGAAGACUACUCCAAGUGCUUCGGAUGGAUGCCAAACCUGAAAUCCACAGAUCCAUCUUCUCUUUCACUGAUACAAAUACUCAAAUUUACUACCGAGGUGCAUCUUCCUGUAGAUGAUACGUGUGAUUCUACAAAUGGAGAAAUGUGGAGCAGAUGCAGACACAGGGAGAACUCUUUGUGAAGAUGAAGGCAGAGAUCAGGGUGAGGUUUCUACACACCAAGGAACUCCAGUGAUCACCAGCAGACCACCAGAAGCUGAGGAAGAGACGUGGGAGCAAUCUUCUCUGCACAGCCAGAAGGAACCAACCUUGCUGAUACCUUGGUCUUAGACAUCUGGCCUCCAGAACCAUGACAAUAAAUUUCUGUUCUGUAUCUAGUCAGUUGUGGUACUUUGCUAUGGCAGCUCUGGUAAAGCAAUACACCACCAAACAUGUCCUGAGAUGGGCAGAUUUUACUGAAGAUAUUUGGAUGG